rnacentral:rRNA from 1 species
AACGAACGCUGGCGGCGUGCCUAAUACUUGCAAGUCGAGCGCAGGAAGCCGUCUGAACCCUUUGGGGGGACGACGGCGGAAUGAGCGGCGGACGGGUGAGUAACACGUAAAGAACCUGCCCAUAGGUCUGGGAUAACCACGAGAAAUCGGGGCUAAUCCCGGAUGUGUCAUCGGACCGCAUGGUCCGCUGAUGAAAGGCGCUCCGGCGUCGCCCAUGGAUGGCUUUGCGGUGCAUUAGCUAGUUGGUGGGGUAACGGCCCACCAAGGCGACGAUGCAUAGCCGACCUGAGAGGGUGAUCGGCCACACUGGGACUGAGACACGGCCCAGACUCCUACGGGAGGCAGCAGUAGGGAAUCUUCCACAAUGGACGAAAGUCUGAUGGAGCAACGCCGCGUGAACGAUGAAGGCUUUCGGGUCGUAAAGUUCUGUUGUAAGGGAAGAACAAGUGCCGCAGGCAAUGGCGGCACCUUGACGGUACCUUGCGAGAAAGCCACGGCUAACUACGUGCCAGCAGCCGCCGUAA